rnacentral:tRNA from 1 species
GUCAGGAUGGCCGAGGGGUGCAAGGCCAUGCGUUCAGGUCGCAGUCUCCCCUGGAGGCGUGGGUUCAAAUCCCAUUUCUGACA